rnacentral:rRNA from 2 species
CGGGCGUCUUAACAUGCAAGUCGAACGAUUAAAGCACCUUCGGGUGUGUAUAAAGUGGCGAACGGCUGAGUAACACGUGGGCAACCUGCCCCUCUCAUUGGGAUAGCCACGGGAAACCGUGGAUAAUACCGAAUACUUCGAGUCUUCCGCAUGAAGACUCGAGAAAGCUCCGGCGGAGAGGGAUGGGCCCGCGGCCUGUUAGCUUGUUGGUGGGGUAACGGCCUACCAAGGCAAUGAUGGGUAGCUGGGUUGAGAGACCGACCAGCCAGAUUGGGACUGAGACACGGCCCAGACUCCUACGGGAGGCAGCAGUGGGGAAUCUUGCACAAUGGGCGAAAGCCUGAUGCAGCGACGCCGCGUGCGGGAUGAAGGCCUUCGGGUUGUAAACCGCUUUCAGCAGGGACGAGGCGAAAGUGACGGUACCUGCAGAAGAAGCCCCGGCUAAUAC